AUGAAGAGACAAUGGGGAGCCCUGCUGGGGCUUCUGUGGGUCCAGAUUUGCUGGGUGAGAGGAGUGAAGGUGGAGCAGAGCCCUUCAGUCUUGAAGCUCCAGGAAGGAGCCAACUCUACUCUGAGGUGCAAUUUUUCUGACACAGUGAACAAUGUGCAGUGGUUCCAGCAGAAUCCCGGAGGCAGCCUCACCACGCUGUUUUCCAUAGCUUCAGGGACAAAGCAGAAAGAAAGGCUGAGUUCCACAGUGAAUUUUAAGGAACGGUAUAGCACCCUACACAUCGCAGCCUCCCAGCUGGAAGACGCAGCCACCUACCUCUGUGCGGUGGAGGCACAGUGCUCCUUGGUGAUCUGA